rnacentral:rRNA from 1 species
UACGAAGGGAGCUAGCGUUGUUCGGAAUCACUGGGCGUAAAGCGCACGUAGGCGGAUGUGUCAGUCAGGGGUGAAAUCCCGGAGCUCAACUUCGGAACUGCCCUUGAUACAGCACGUCUUGAGUCCGAUAGAGGUGGGUGGAAUUCCUAGUGUAGAGGUGAAAUUCGUAGAUAUUAGGAAGAACACCGGUGGCGAAGGAGGCCCACUGGAUCGGUACUGACGCUGAGGUGCGAAAGCGUGGGGAGCAAACAGG